UCACAUAUUAUUUCAGAUUUGAAUUGUACUACUACAUGGUCUGAGGAUCCCCAAGCCAAAAAUUUAACACAAAAAGUAGUCCCAGGCUGGCAAUAAACCUGCAACAUCUGGCAGAAAUACAAAACUGAAGAGAUCUACCCUCAGCCACGGCACAAAGGAUUCCUAUACAUAAAGUUCUGUUGGCCAGGCGCGGUGGCUCACGCUUGUAAUCCCCACCUGAGGUUACGAAUUCGAGACCAGCCUGGCCAACAUGGCGAAAACCCAUCGCUAUUAAAAAUAUUUUAAAAAUUAGCCAUGUGUGGUUGUGCGCACCUGUAGUCCCAGCUACUCAGGAGGCUGAUAGUUUUCCAAAAGAACAAAUAGCCUGGGCUACAUGGGUAGGUUCCCCUAACCAAGCCAGUAAAUCUUCUGAUAAGGUUCAGCCUCAUCCCUCAGAUCUGAUAGUGUGGUUUACUCCUUAAGGGCUCUGGACUCCAGCUCCCUGGGCUCAAGAAGACCCAGUCCCCCAUGCUUUAGCUAUAGAGUACCCUAAAGAGUAAAGCCAAAGACUGGAGCUUGUGACCAAUGUAAGAAAAGCCUAGGAUCAAAAGAGAUGGUGGCAGGCGCCUGUAGUCCCAACAUCUCGGGAGGCUGAGGCAGGAGCACUUUGGGAGGCUGUGGUGGGCAGAUUACCUGAGAUCAGGAGUUCAAGAUCUGCCCGGCCACCAUGGUGAAACCCUGUCUCUACAAAAUACAAAAUUUAGCCGGGCAUGAUGGCGGGUGCCUGUAAUCCCAGCUACUUGGGAGGCUGAGGCGGAAGAAUCACUUGAACCUGGAGGCGGAGGUUGCAGUGACCUGAGAUCGUGCCAUUGCACUGCAGCCUAGGUAACAGAGCAAGACUCUGUCCCCGCCCUAAAAAAAAAAAGAAAAAAAAGUGGGCUGGGUGCAGUGGGUCAGGCCUACAAUCCCAGCACUUUGGGAGGCUGAAGUGGGAGGACUGCUUGAGCCCAGGAGUUUGAGACCAGCCUGGGCAAAAAAGCGUGACCUCAUCUCUAUUAAAAAUUUAAAAAAUUCGCCUGGUGCGGUGGCUCACGCCUGUAAUCCCAGCACUUUGGGAGGCCAAGGUGGGCAGAUCACGAGGUCAG
rnacentral:lncRNA from 1 species